rnacentral:rRNA from 1 species
CGGACGGGUGAGUAAUGCUUGGGAAUCUGGCUUAUGGAGGGGGGUAACUACGGGAAACUGUAGCUAAUACCGCGUAAUAUCUUCGGAUUAAAGGGUGGGACUUUCGGGCCACCUGCCAUAAGAUGAGCCCAAGUGGGAUUAGGUAGUUGGUUAGGUAAAGGCUGACCAAGCCGACGAUCUCUAGCUGGUCUGAGAGGAUGACCAGCCACACUGGAACUGAGACACGGUCCAG